rnacentral:rRNA from 1 species
UACGGAGGAGGCAAGCGUUAUCCGGAAUUAUUGGGCGUAAAGCGUCCGUAGGUGGCUAGUCAAGUCUGCGGUCAAAGACUGGGGCUUAACCCUGGAAAGGCCGUGGAAACUGACGAGCUAGAGUGCAGUAGGGGUAGAGGGAAUUCCCGGUGUGGCGGUGAAAUGCGUAGAGCUCGGGAAGAACAUCGGUGGCGAAAGCGCUCUACUGGACUGCAACUGACACUCAGGGACGAAAGCUAGGGGAGCGAAUGGG